rfam:Nodularia spumigena CCY9414 genome.
GGGAGCCGUGUACACGGAAACGGGUACGCACGGAUCUAACUGAGAGGUGCGAAGGAUAAUACCUUACAUCGACUCAAC